ACAGCUCAAAUUUGAAAUCUGGCCUCUUCGAGGUCCGAGUUGUAAUUUGUAGAGGGUGUUUCGGGCGCGAUGCCGGUCUAAGUUCCUUGGAACAGGACGUCGCAGAGGGUGAGAAUCCCGUACGCGGCCGGCGAUCAAGCCCAUGUGAAGCCCCUUCGACGAGUCGAGUUGUUUGGGAAUGCAGCUCAAAAUGGGUGGUAAAUUUCAUCUAAAGCUAAAUAUUGGCCAGAGACCGAUAGCGGACAAGUAGAGUGAUCGAAAGAUGAAAAGCACUUUGGAAAGAGAGUCAAACAGCACGUGAAAUUGUUGAAAGGGAAGCGCUUGCAAUCAGACCGGUCCGGAGGCGAUCAGCCGCUGCUCGUUCAGCGGUGCACUCGCCUGCGAUCCGGCCAGCAUCGGUCUGGGCGGUGGGACAAAAGUCCCGGGAAUGUAGCUUCUUUCGGGGAGUCUUAUAGCCCGGGUCGCAAUGCCGCCUGCCCGGACCGAGGACCGCGCUUCGGCUAGGAUGCUGGCGUAAUGGUUGCAAGCG
rnacentral:rRNA from 1 species